UUCAGUUGAGUUCUGUUUCUGUUCUGUUCAGUUCGGUUCGGUUUAGUUCCGUUUUCUAAGAUUUCGAUUUUUAUUUCAAUUAUUUAUUUAUACUUAAGAAAUAUUUAAACUAAUAUAAACAAGUUCAACUUCAACCAUUUAACCGAAUAUAUUUUGUAAACUUCCUCGGGACUGUGUGCUUUUAACGAACACGACGAUGACGACGAUCUGUGGGAUUAACUCGCCCUGGAACUAAACGAUGGAUCUAGCAGAUCAAAUCGAUGACUAUAUCUGCUCGUUCGAGGGACUUGGUGACUUAACAAUGGACUCCCUGGCCAUCUUCAUUUUCCUGUGGGCCGUUCUGGCCCUCUUCUCCGUCUGGCUGAUCAAGCUGCUCUACCACAAGUAUCUCAACAAGGACAAGUCGUCCAGUGCGGCCAACAGUCGCCAGACGAGCGUGGCCCCCACCUCCGGAUCGCCCUCAUCCGCCGCCGGCAAGACGGAGAAGCGCCUCUCGGAGCCGCGUGAUCUGCUGGCCACCAAGAGCAAGGUGGAGGACCUAUCCAAGCCCCUGACCGGCGGAUCAGCAGGCCGAGGCCGCUCCUCAGCAUCGCCCUUAAACACUGGUGGCGCAGCCGCCGGCGGUCCACGUCGCCGGGUGGUGCGCCAGAGUUCCACUGGACCAGAGAACCGCAAGAAGCGCUAUGUCCCACCGCCCUCGAAUGUCGUGGGUCCAGAAACGAGUUCCGUCACCUGGACGAGCCAGGUGUUCCGCUGGCUUUAUAGCGACCUGGUCAUCGUCAACGAGCUGCUCAUGUCCUGGGUGAUUGCCAUUAACGACACGCUGCGCAAGUCUGUGGAGGAGCAUGGAGUGGCCGUGGAAGUCGUUCGAGUGCUGCCCGACAGUCCUGCCCCCGGAUUGAAUAAUAUAUUCUGUAAUUGCGAUGAGAACAAUCCCGCUGACAUGCUCAUCACCUUUGACUGCGAUGCCAUGCCGGUGCUGCAGGUGAAGACCUUCCGCCAGAAGGCGGGCAAGGUGGAGACCUCCCACUACAAGGUCACCGUGUCAAGGUUCCGAGCCCGCAUGGCCAUUCCCAUGAACUACAACACCCUGAAGGGAGAAAUGCGUGUCGAGGGCUAUCCCGAUGUUCGCAUCGCAAUGAACAGCGUGGGCGCCAUCAAGGCGAUGGACCAGGACGAACAACAGCUGCAAACGGUGAUCAGCGACAUCCUGACGACGGCGCUGCGCGACACCGUCUAUCCGGUGGACUUCUCCAUCUACUCCACCUGCCCCAGGGCCGAGGUGGAGCCCCUGGACCUGCCCGUAAUCUAUCCCGUCCACUAUGACUCGCUGGCGCACAACAUGGAGCAUCACAUGGGCGGCGUGGGACUGAGGGACUCCCAGCACAUGGUUUCCGGCCGUCGGCUACUCGUGAAGAUCGUCAAGGGCGAGGGAAUUCGGGAUGCCCACGAUCCCUAUGUGGUCAUCGAGAUGGAUGAGCCUGCCCAGAAGAACCAAACGGGCACCCAGCGCGGCAGCAAACCCUUCUGGGAUGAGCACUUUCUCUUUGAACUCUCCCCUCAAUCUGCCGAGAUCCUGUUCGAGGUGUACGACCAUCCGGUGAUUGCCUCCGAUCCGCCCAAGUUCCUGGGUCUCGGCCUGGUUGGAAUCGAUGAGCUGGCCGCUGGACCCGCCUCCACUCAGCUGCUGCAGCUGCAGCCCCGUCCCUAUGAGACGCAGCCCGUCUCGGGAUCCAUUACCGUGGACUUUGUGUUCAUCGAGGGUGCCGAGAUACCGGCGGGCACCCGUCCACAGCGCUUGAAGGAGGCGCUGCGCCUCAGCACGCCGGCCAUAAACGAGCACAUCCGGAACGGAGCGGAUCUGGCGGAUGCAGCCGUAAGAGCUCUGCAGGAUGGAGCGCUCUCGGGCAGCGGACAGCCCAGCAGGAGCACGUUGAUUAUCCACAGCGUGCAGCGAAAUUCGAGCAGCCCGAAUGCAUUUAAGGUCGAGUUGAACAAAGAGGGUCGCAUCGAGGUGACCGAAACGGCGACGGAGCUGGAUCAGGCAGUGGCCCAGGCCUUCGAGCGGGCGGCCAACGAGGCCAAGGGUCAGCUUGAGCUGGAGCAGGCCAAAGAGGAGAAAGCCAGCCAGCUGGGCGAGACCCUCAACGAUUCAGGUAACGGCACCGUCAACGAGGAGAGCACCGCGGAGUUUGGCCAACCCAAUGCAGCCUCGUCGCCCAAUGGCAGUGGUUAUCACAACAACUACAGCCUCAAUGGAAACGGCAAUGGCAACACCAACGGAGCCGGAUCGGGUGGAUAUAAUAGCCUGCCCCGCAACGGUGGUGCCCAGCAGCUGGCUCAGCAGCACUCCGGAUUAAUCGAGGGCCACGACGUGGUCGAUGACCGCGGGCGCAGCAAAAAACGUAAUUUCUUUGGCACCCUGAAGAAGCGGCUCAGCCGCUCCAAGACACGCACCCUCUCGGCCGAUCAGCCCAAUAAUAACAGUCAUAAGUCACUAUCAGCCACCAACUCGAAUACAGCAACCGCCUCCGGAUUCCCUCGAACAGCCACCGGAACCCUCAAUGGUGAUUCUUCCCGUUCAUUAUCUGUCGAUCGUGCUACUCUGUCCAAAAGCAAUUCACUUGGACCCCGCAUGGGCAUUGGUCACUCCAUCACCGACCACUCACGCCGCUCCUCAAUUUCAGAAUCCUCGGCCAUCUCAGGCUUUUCAUCGGCUAGCAAUAAAACCUAUGUGCACGAGGCCUCCACCCUGGUGCUGGAGACCAUCGAGAAUGGCGUGAAGCGCCACUUCAUUGUGCCUUUGGCCAUCGCCCAGAGACCGCGUUGGCGUCGCAAGGGCACCAAGCUGCACAUCUACAACGAUCACACCUUCAUCGCCAAGCAUUUGAGCGGAAGCGGUCUUCAGUGCUCCAUCUGCAUGAAGUCCAUCCCGAGGAGGCCGGGAAAACAGGGCUACGAGUGCCGCGACUGCCAACUGAUCUGUCACAAGCAGUGUCACAUACGGGCGCCCCAAGCAUGUCCCAAUCCCACGGUGCUCUCCAUGGAACUAACGUCAUUUCCGGAUGGCCAGUGAGGAGUAGAAGGGGUCUCAGCAACAUCACAGCACCUUUAGCCAGUAAAAAACCAUUCUUAAAUGCUCCCCAAGCGAUGUGCGGGUCACUCUGACGCCAAAUAUUUCAAAGAACACACACACACAAUCCUCCUUCGAUUUGAGAAAAAACUCCAGGGUUCUAGAUUCGCUCAGCAGAAGUUUUGAGAGGUUCGAUCGUUUUCCAGUUGACCCUUCGGCAACUGGGAAAUCGGGAACCAAACUUAAUUCGGCGGCGGCAGACCGCAGUAUACGGAAGCUGUGAAGGGGAAUCCCCCGAGAACCCCAUCGGAUCCAUCCAGCCCCUAACCGAGAAACCUUAAUCGAAAUACUACCCUAGUUAGAUUAGACGGAGGAGCGCUGUGUGAACUAUCUUCUUCUGCUAUGGAAAUCCUCGAUAUAUUACGUUAUUUAUUUAUACACUCACGCGAACACAACACACAUGUGCAAUAAGUUCUUUGGAUUCGUUUUUAACCCCUUUCUCCGUGUCAACGUGCUUGAGCCCUUUGAUAUUUUGUAUUUUCUACGAACACGAAUAAUAAUUGUACAAAACAAAA